rnacentral:rRNA from 1 species
UACGAAGGGGGCUAGCGUUGCUCGGAAUCACUGGGCGUAAAGGGUGCGUAGGCGGGUCUUUAAGUCAGGGUGAAAUCCUGGAGCUCAACUCCAGAACUGCCUUUGAUACUGAGGAUCUUGAGUUCGGGAGAGGUGAGUGGAACUGCGAGUGUAGAGGUGAAAUUCGUAGAUAUUCGCAAGAACACCAGUGGCGAAGGCGGCUCACUGGCCCGAUACUGACGCUGAGGCACGAAAGCGUGGGGAGCAA